AUGUCCAUAUCAUGUUGAAACACCAGUUUUUGUAUGAUCACCAAAGUUAAGCAACGUUGAGCUUGGUCCGUACCUAGGUGGGUGACCACCUGGAAAUAUCAGGUGC